CAAUUACUUAAAAUAUUUUAGUGUUUUUAAUAUUGACAUCACUUUUAGUUAAUUAAUAUUUCUACGUCUAACAAGGAAUUGUAGAGAAAGCUUGAAAAAAUUUACAUGCAUUCAAAAAAAAUGCCGCAUUUUUUGUUUGUUAAGAACGCAAGGCUUAAGGUUUCUACAUUUUUUCCCAAAUAAUUAGUGAAUUGCUUGAAUUUACAUUAAUUUAAAACGCUCAAAGCGGCCUCUUUUUCUACUCUACCCUGCUAUUUUUUGGGUUCAGAAAAUACUGCGAUUUUGUAUCUCGUUUCGCCUCCUAAGUUAUAGUCCUCAGUAGUCCAGUUGUUGUAACAGUUAUUAAGUUUUUUUGGUUACACAAAGUGAUUCUUAAAUUUGAUGCCAAUUGAGAAAUAAUACAUUUUAUGUUUUAUUUAUUCAAACUGUAGUCGUGUUACAUUGUUAUACAGAGUGAGGAUAAGGAAAUUCCUUUCUACCAGAACACACUUUCGUUUUAGAUUUGGUGUGUAAUGUUUUUUUUAUGAGAGAUUAGCAGAUCCAGUCUACUUUCUGUGGUCACUUUGUCAAAUAAACCAAUGUUCAUUUAAAAAAAA